rnacentral:rRNA from 1 species
GACGAACGCUGGCGGCGCGCUUAACACAUGCAAGUCGAACGGAAAGGCCUGCUUUCCCUUGUGGAUUGCGGGUACUCGAGUGGCGAACGGGUGAGUAACACGUGAGUGAUCUGCCCCCAACUUGGGUAUAAGCCUGGGAAACUGGGUCUAAUUCCCGAUAGGACUGCAGGGUGGUGCCUGUGGUGGAAAACGAUUUUCUAGUGGUUGGGGAUGAGCUCGCGGCCUAUCAGCUUGUUGGUGGGGUAAUGGCCUACCAAGGCGGCGACGGGUAGCCGGCCUGAGAGGGUGGACGGGCACAGUGGGACUGAGAUACGGCCCAGACUCCGACGGGAGGCAGCAGUGGGGAAUAUUGCACAAUGGGCGGAAGCCUGAUGCAGCGACGCCGCGUGGGGGAUGACGGCCUUCGGGUUGUAAACUCCUUUCGACCGCGAGGAAGCCACCUGGUUGGAAGGGUGGUGACGGUAGUGGUAGAAGAAGCACCGGCUAACUACGUG